CGCUGGCGGCGUGCUUACACAUGCAAGUCGAGCGGUAAGGCCCUUCGGGGUACACGAGCGGCGAACGGGUGAGUAACACGUGGGUGAUCUGCCUUGCACUCUGGGAUAAGCCUGGGAAACUGGGUCUAAUACCGGAUAUGAGCCUGAACUGCAUGGUUCGGGUUGGAAAGAUUUAUCGGUGCGAGAUGGGCCCGCGGCCUAUCAGCUUGUUGGUGAGGUAACGGCUCACCAAGGCGACGACGGGUAGCCGGCCUGAGAGGGCGACCGGCCACACUGGGACUGAGACACGGCCCAGACUCCUACGGGAGGCAGCAGUGGGGAAUAUUGCACAAUGGGCGAAAGCCUGAUGCAGCGACGCCGCGUGAGGGAUGACGGCCUUCGGGUUGUAAACCUCUUUCGACAGGGACGAAGCGCAAGUGACGGUACCUGUAGAAGAAGCACCGGCUAACUACGUGCCAGCAGCCGCGGUAAUACGUAGGGUGCGAGCGUUGUCCGGAAUUACUGGGCGUAAAGAGCUUGUAGGCGGUCUGUCACGUCGGUCGUGAAAACUCACAGCUCAACUGUGGGCCUGCGGUCGAUACGGGCAGACUAGAGUACUUCAGGGGAGACUGGAAUUCCUGGUGUAGCGGUGAAAUGCGCAGAUAUCAGGAGGAACACCGGUGGCGAAGGCGGGUCUCUGGGAAGUAACUGACGCUGAGAAGCGAAAGCGUGGGUAGCGAACAGGAUUAGAUACCCUGGUAGUCCACGCCGUAAACGGUGGGGUACUAGGUGUGGGUUUCCUUCCACGGGAUCCGUGCCGUAGCUAACGCAUUAAGUACCCCGCCUGGGGAGUACGGCCGCAAGGCUAAAACUCAAAGGAAUUGACGGGGGCCCGCACAAGCGGCGGAGCAUGUGGAUUAAUUCGAUGCAACGCGAAGAACCUUACCUGGGUUUGACAUACACCGGAAAGCCGUAGAGAUACGGCCCCCCCUUGUGGUCGGUGUACAGGUGGUGCAUGGCUGUCGUCAGCUCGUGUCGUGAGAUGUUGGGUUAAGUCCCGCAACGAGCGCAACCCUUAUCUUAUGUUGCCAGCGCGUAAUGGCGGGGACUCGUGAGAGACUGCCGGGGUCAACUCGGAGGAAGGUGGGGACGACGUCAAGUCAUCAUGCCCCUUAUGUCCAGGGCUUCACACAUGCUACAAUGGCCGGUACAGAGGGCUGCGAUACCGUGAGGUGGAGCGAAUCCCUUAAAGCCGGUCUCAGUUCGGAUCGGGGUCUGCAACUCGACCCCGUGAAGUUGGAGUCGCUAGUAAUCGCAGAUCAGCAACGCUGCGGUGAAUACGUUCCCGGGCCUUGUACACACCGCCCGUCACGUCAUGAAAGUCGGUAACACCCGAAGCCGGUGGCCUAACCCUUGUGGAGGGAGCCGUCGAAGGUGG
rnacentral:rRNA from 1 species